rnacentral:rRNA from 1 species
AGAGUUUGAUCAUGGCUACAGAACGAACGCUGGCGGCAUGCCUAACACAUGCAAGUCGAACGGGCGUAGCAAUACGUCAGUGGCAGACGGGUGAGUAACGCGUGGGAACAUACCUCUUGGUUCGGAACAACACAGGGAAACUUGUGCUAAUACCGGAUAAGCCCUUACGGGGAAAGAUUUAUCGCCGAGAGAUUGGCCCGCGUCUGAUUAGCUAGUUGGUAGGGUAAUGGCCUACCAAGGCGACGAUCAGUAGCUGGUCUGAGAGGAUGAUCAGCCACAUUGGGACUGAGACACGGCCCAAACUCCUACGGGAGGCAGCAGUGGGGAAUAUUGGACAAUGGGCGCAAGCCCGAUCCAGCCAUGCCGCGUGAGUGAUGAAGGCCCUAGGGUUGUAAAGCUCUUUUGUACGGGAAGAUAAUGACGGUACCGUAAGAAUAAGCCCCGGCUAACUUCGUG